GAUGAACGCUGGCGGCGUGCUUAACACAUGCAAGUCGAACGAAGCAUUUGCGACAGAUUUUUUCGGAAUGAAGUUGCUUAUGACUGAGUGGCGGACGGGUGAGUAACGCGUGGGUAACCUGCCUUGUACUGGGGGAUAGCAGCUCGAAACGGCUGGUAAUACCGCAUAAGCGCACAAUGUUGCAUGACAUGGUGUGAAAAACUCCGGUGGUAUAAGAUGGACCCGCGUCUGAUUAGCUAGUUGGUGAGAUAACAGCCCACCAAGGCGACGAUCAGUAGCCGACCUGAGAGGGUGACCGGCCACAUUGGGACUGAGACACGGCCCAGACUCCUACGGGAGGCAGCAGUGGGGAAUAUUGCACAAUGGAGGAAACUCUGAUGCAGCGACGCCGCGUGAGUGAAGAAGUAAUUCGUUAUGUAAAGCUCUAUCAGCAGGGAAGAUAGUGACGGUACCUGACUAAGAAGCUCCGGCUAAAUACGUG
rnacentral:rRNA from 1 species